UGCCAGACUCCUACGGGAGGCAGCAGUGGGGGAUAUUGCACAAUGGGGGGAACCCUGAUGCAGCGACGCCGCGUGGGUGAAGGAGUGCUUCGGCAUGUAAAGCCCUAUCGGCAGGGAAGAAGCAAGACGGUACCUGACUAAGAAGCCCCGGCUAACUACGUGCCAGCAGCCGCGGGAAUACGUAGGGGGCAAGCGUUAUCCGGAUUUACUGGGUGUAAAGGGAGCGUAGACGGCAGUGCAAGUCCGGAGUGAAAGCCCGGGGCUCAACCCUGGGACUGCUCUGGAAACUGUAAAGCUGGAGUGCGGGAGGGGCAGGCGGAAUUCCUGGUGUAGCGGUGAAAUGCGUAGAUAUCAGGAGAAACACCGGCGGCGAAGGCGGCCUGCUGGACCGUAACUGACGUUGAGGCUCGAAAGCGUGGGGAGCAAACAGGAUUAGAUACCCCCGUA
rnacentral:rRNA from 1 species